rnacentral:lncRNA from 1 species
CUAAGACAUGGAGCUGCAAGCAGCCAGUUUAUUCCUUAGCAAAAAAGCUAAGGCACAGCCUGACAUAGUGGCACAUGCCUGUUCUCACAGCAGUUGGGAGGCAGAGGGAGGAGAAUCACUUCAAGGGCAGCCUGGACUACACAGUGAGUUCAAGAGAGGUAUAUCGGGCUGGCAAGAAAAUGUUUUCAUGGACUUCCGUUGCUAGGUUUGUGUCUCCAUUUCGAGGGUAGCAUCUCAGCACCCUGACCACCAACACGGGACACAAAGGUGCAAAGCAUGUGCACAACAUAAUUCUGCAUGCAGAUAGGGCAGGGUGCAGGGAGAGAGGAUCUCACAUCUUUCUUGACUGAGCUGACUGGAAGUCGCCAGGAUCCCGCCCUGGUCCACAGGGCAGUGAGGGAC